rnacentral:rRNA from 1 species
AAGACCUUGCACUUUUGGAGCGGCCGAUGUCUGAUUAGCUAGUUGGUGGGGUAAUGGCCUACCAAAGCUUCGAUCAGUAGCUGGUCUGAGAGGACGGCCAGCCACACCGGGACUGAGACACGGCCCAGACUCCUACGGGAGGCAGCAGUGGGGAAUUUUGGACAAUGGGCGCAAGCCUGAUCCAGCCAUGCCGCGUGAGUGAAGAAGGCCUUCGGGUUGUAAAGCUCUUUCAGCCGGGAAGAAAAGGUUGCGACUAAUAAUCGCAAUUCAUGACGGUACCGAAAGAAGAAGCACCGGCUAACUACGUGCCAGCAGCCGCGGUAAUACGUAGGGUGCGAGCGUUAAUCGGAAUUACUGGGCGUAAAGGGUGCGCAGGCGGUUUUGUAAGUCAGAUGUGAAAUCCCCGGGCUUAACCUGGGAACU